UUUGUGCUUCAUACUUUUGUUUGGAGUUAUUAUAGGGCAUAAUGUACAUAAUUAAUUCUAGUGGGAACCGUUCAUGGAGAAUAUUGUCUUAUAUGGGGCACAUAUUGGUGACGCACAUGAUAACCUCGUGCGAUUGGCCUACAGCGCCAUCUUUAGAAGCACAUAUGCUGCUGACAGGGUCGGUUGUGCUUUCUCACGCUCUUCAAAAGAGAGCGCUGGUAAGGACAUUCCUCCAAGUGUAAAUGAUGUCAUCGAUUAAUUUCAUUAGAUAAAUAAUGUUUAAGUGUAAUGUAAGACCGUGAUGUCAUCAAAUGUAAAGCAAUUUAUUGCAUUUUGAACAUUUUACCGAGAUUGGUUUUGCUUACUAGCGUUCUCCAUGCUAUACGGGCAGACUGAAGGGGAGAGAGGUGUGUAUCCCAAAAAAGUUUAAUUGUGCUCUGUGUGUUUCUGCAGACCUGCUUUUUGUAGAAUAAAACAUCCUGAGACCUCC